UAGGGAAUCUUCCACAAUGGACGCAAGUCUGAUGGAGCAACGCCGCGUGAGUGAAGAAGGUUUUCGGAUCGUAAAGCUCUGUUGUUGGUGAAGAAGGGUAGAGGUAGUAACUGGCCUUUAUUUGACGGUAAUCAACCAGAAAGUCACGGCUAACUACGUGCCAGCAGCCGCGGUAAUACGUAGGUGGCAAGCGUUGUCCGGAUUUAUUGGGCGUAAAGCGAGCGCAGGCGGAAGAAUAAGUCUGAUGUGAAAGCCCUCGGCUUAACCGAGGAACUGCAUCGGAAACUGUUUUUCUUGAGUGCAGAAGAGGAGAGUGGAAUUCCAUGUGUAGCGGUGGAAUGCGUAGAUAUAUGGAAGAACACCAGUGGCGAAGGCGACUCUCUGGUCUGCAACUGACGCUGAGGCUCGAAAGCAUGGGUAGCGAACAGG
rnacentral:rRNA from 1 species